rnacentral:rRNA from 1 species
UAUUUGUUCUCAAUGUUUUGCAAUCCGUGAGGGAAGUUUUUUUUUUUCCUUUUUUCCCCCCAAACACUGGCGUGUAUUCUUUUUGAUUUGUUUAUAUACUCAAUUGUUUCAUUUCCGAUUUGGAACGGCAAUUGUUUUGCGGCUUUAUUUUGUUGCAUUUGCAUGUGUUGUGCGUAGAGACAUUUGGUCAGGUAUUAUGAUUUCAAUUUUGAGGCCAGCUUGCUGGUACCCAAAUUGGAGGAUUACUAUUCUUCGGUCAAAUGUUUGCGCGUAUGGUUUUCGGACUCGAUUGGACACCUAGCUGGAGGUCAGUGGCGGUCGCAUGCGACGUGUCGCUGUGCAAUCAGUUCGGUUCUAG